GUUUUAAUAAUUUAAUAAAAAUAUUGGUCUUGUAAACCAAAAUUAAGGAUACCUUUUAAAACU
rnacentral:tRNA from 1 species